CUACAACCAAUUAAGCCAACGGAGGCUCUUUCCCCACGGGGUCCUGGUGCGCAAUGUUCACAAACGGCAGCUUCCUUGACGUAGAGCCUGCCGCCGAUCUGGGUUGCCCUAAGAGAACUUGGAGACAAUUU
ensembl:snoRNA Gm26211 small nucleolar RNA SNORA70